rnacentral:rRNA from 1 species
UACGUAGGGUGCAAGCGUUAAUCGGAAUUACUGGGCGUAAAGCGUGCGCAGGCGGUUCUAUAAGACAGAUGUGAAAUCCCCGGGCUCAACCUGGGAACUGCAUUUGUGACUGUAGAGCUGGAGUGCGGCAGAGGGGGAUGGAAUUCCGCGUGUAGCAGUGAAAUGCGUAGAUAUGCGGAGGAACACCGAAGGCGAAGGCAAUCCCCUGGGCCUGCACUGACGCUCAUGCACGAAAGCGUGGGGAGCAAACAGG